AUAUUAUAUCCAACUUGGAAGAAUAAUGGUCACAUAUGAUGUAAAGCAGAACUCCUAGCAUUGUCCUUGUGCCAGGUCAAGCACAUACCCAACCAGCCUCAUUCCCGAUGAGAUGUUCUGCCACAGAUGUGCUGGAAAUGUACCUUUAUCAGACCCUCUGCUCAUCACAUCAAAGGCCAAAAUUCUUAAAAAUACAAGAAUUAUCCAUGACGUUGCCACCAAUUUGGAAUCCAUUACAGGUAUCAAGAGUGGAAAGAUGGCCUGCAUAAUUUUAAUGACAGUGUCAUUCUUGACCUCCCUUUAUGCCUACAUCUUCGAAACAUGCUACAGGCCCACACUGCUGUCGGGAGAGUGGUUCAGUGUCUGGA